rnacentral:rRNA from 1 species
UGGGGAAUCUUCCGCAAUGGACGAAAGUCUGACGGAGCAACGCCGCGUGAGCGAUGACGGUCUUCGGAUUGUAAAGCUCUGUUAAUCGGGACGAAUGGUUUGUGUGCAAAUAGUGCAUAGACAUGACGGUACCGGAAUAGAAAGCCACGGCUAACUACGUGCCAGCAGCCGCGGUAAUACGUAGGUGGCAAGCGUUGUCCGGAAUUAUUGGGUGUAAAGCGCGCGCAGGCGGACUAGCCAGUCAGUCUUAAAAGUUCGGGGCUUAACCCCGUGAUGGGAUUGAAACUACUAGUCUAGAGUAUCGGAGAGGAAAGUGGAAUUCCUAGUGUAGCGGUGAAAUGCGUAGAUAUUAGGAAGAACACCAGUGGCGAAGGCGACUUUCUGGACGAACACUGACGCUGAGGCGCGAAAGCCAGGGGAGCGAACGGG